rnacentral:rRNA from 1 species
GACGAACGCUGGCGGCGUGCCUAAUACGUGCAAGUCGAGCGCAGGAAAUCGACGGAACCCUUCGGGGGGAAGUCGACGGAAUGAGCGGCGGACGGGUGAGUAACACGUAAAGAACCUGCCCUCAGGUCUGGGAUAACCACGAGAAAUCGGGGCUAAUACAGGAUGGGUCAUCGGACCGCAUGGUCCGAGGAUGAAAGGCGCUUCGGAGGCGCCUGGGGAUGGGUUUGCGGUGCAUUAGCUAGUUGGUGGGGUAAGGGCCCACCAAGUCGACGAUGCAUAGCCGACCUAGAAGGCUGAUCGGCCACACUGGGACUGAGACACGGCCCAGACUCCUACGGGAGGCAGCAGUAGGGAAUCUUCCACAAUGGACGAAAGUCUGAUGGAGCAACGCCGCGUGAAUGAUGAAGGCCUUCGGGUCGUAAAGUUCUGUUGUAAGGGAAGAACAAGUGCCGCAGGCAAUGGCGGCACCUUGACGGUACCUUGCGAGAAAGCCACGGCUAACUACGUGCCAGCCGCCGCGGUAA